CUUUCUAGCGUGACACUAAUAAGUCCAUUAGCAUCAUAUAUGUGGCUUAGCAGGGCGCAGGGGGCAUAGCCUAACAAAUGUGCGGAGUCAAUUGGUUUCCCAAGGGGACGCUACUGAGAAGCUGGCUCACCAAGUCCCGACCCAGACUGCUGCUGCUCAUCGCGGGCUUGAAGAGGCCUCAGGUCACCCUCAUGCGGAGGAAAAGGAUGAAACGCACGAAAGUAGCAAAGGCCACAACUUGCAGUCGAAUGCCGCACUUUACUUGAGUCUACAAAACCGAAGAAAUCUCCGUCUGCCGUCGACAUGAACGCAGAAAACCAUCACACAGAAACACCGGCUUUCCCAUCGCUGCCAAACACACGAACUAAACGCCAAAGCAGAAGCAGGAGCGAGUCUGUGGUGAAAAUGAGGGAUCUUCCACAAAGAUCCAGACCCCCCGACUGAGACCUCGCACCCACAGACAUUUGUUCAUCUUUCUCUCUCUCUCUAAAAAAGAAAACACCUCUGUCAUGCUUCGGCUCUCAGCGUGUGACAGUACAUUAUUACUCUUUUGGUUGACAGUGCUUUCCUUUCCUGUGCUUUCUG
ensembl:processed_transcript si:ch73-197b13.1 si:ch73-197b13.1